UACAAAACCGAAAUUAAUUCGGUUCGGUAUUUGGUAGAGUUUUUCAUAGAAUUUCAGUUUCAGUUUACCAAAAUAAAUUUCGGUUUCAGUUAACCGAAUGCACACCCCUAAUCACAGUGAUAUAUGUUUGUUAGUUAUUCCUUUAUAAUAUUUGUUUUGGUCGUCGGACGUAGUUGUUGUUGUUUGCAAGCUUACUGUCUGUUUUAUUGGGCGAUCGAUGUAUAUGGCUAGAUGUCAUCAAUCAGUUCUGUUAAAGAGCCGUAUGCUUUUUAUAUGCAGGAAGUGGUGUAUAUGUCUAAAAAGCAGUGUUUGGAAAAGUUAAUGACAAUGUUAAUCAAGAACAUGAUUACUUUUUUAUAUGCAGGAAGUGGUGUAUAUGUAUAAGAAGCAGUGUUUGGAA
rnacentral:lncRNA from 1 species